rnacentral:rRNA from 1 species
UACGUAGGCAGCAAGCGUUUGUUCGGAGUUACUGGGCGUAAAGGGUGUGUAGGCGGUUCCUUAAGUUUGCUGUGAAAUCUCCCGGCUUAACCGGGAGGGUGCGGUGAAUACUGAGGGACUAGAGUACGGGAGAGGAAAGUGGAAUUCCUGGUGUAGCGGUGAAAUGCGUAGAUAUCAGGAGGAACACCGGUGGUGUAGACGGCUUUCUGGACCGUAACUGACGCUGAGACACGAAAGCGUGGGUAGCAAACAGG